UACGUAGGGUGCAAGCGUUAAUCGGAAUUACUGGGCUUAAAGCGUGCGCAGGCGGUCUUGCAAGACAGAUGUGAAAUCCCCGGGCUUAACCUGGGAACUGCAUUUGUGACUGCAAGGCUGGAGUGCGGCAGAGGGGGAUGGAAUUCCGCGUGUAGCAGUGAAAUGCGUAGAUAUGCGGAGGAACACCGAUGGCGAAGGCAAUCCCCUGGGCCUGCACUGACGCUCAUGCACGAAAGCGUGGGGAGCAAACAGG
rnacentral:rRNA from 1 species